rnacentral:snRNA from 1 species
AGCGACCCCAGGUCAGGCGGGAU